rnacentral:rRNA from 1 species
GAUGAACGCUGGCGGCGUGCCUAAUACAUGCAAGUCGAGCGAACGGACGAGAAGCUUGCUUCUCUGAUGUUAGCGGCGGACGGGUGAGUAACACGUGGAUAACCUACCUAUAAGACUGGGAUAACUUCGGGAAACCGUAGCUAAUACCGGAUAAUAUUUUGAACCGCAUGGUUCAAAAGUGAAAGACGGUCUUGCUGUCACUUAUAGAUGGAUCCGCGCUGCAUUAGCUAGUUGGUAAGGUAACGGCUUACCAAGGCAACGAUGCAUAGCCGACCUGAGAGGGUGAUCGGCCACACUGGAACUGAGACACGGUCCAGACUCCUAGGGGAGGCAGCAGUAGGGAAUCUUCCGCAAUGGGCGAAAGCCUGACGGAGCAACGCCGCGUGAGUGAUGAAGGUCUUCGGAUCGUAAAACUCUGUUAUUAGGGAAGAACAUAUGUGUAAGUAACUGUGCACAUCUUGACGGUACCUAAUCAGAAAGCCACGGCUAACUACGUG